rnacentral:rRNA from 1 species
UUCCUUUGGGGCGUUGUAGACUGAAGGGGCGCUAUCUUGCAUGGCCCGGGGAUAGGUCCGUUGGAACACGGCAUCAUAGAGGGUGAGAAUCCCGUCUUUGACUCGGGGUAAGGCCCAUGCAUGUACGUUGCGCUUCCAAAGAGUCGGGUUGUUUGGGAAUGCAGCCCAAAAGGGGUGGUAAACUUCAUCUAAGGCUAAAUAUGGGCACGAGACCGAUAGCGAACAAGUACCAUGAGGGAAAGAUGAAAAGCACUUUGAAAAGAGAGUCAAAAAGUACGUGAAACCGUUAAGAGGGAAACGAAUGGGGCUAGCAUUUGUACGUUGGCCACAAUCAGCCAGACGWCCCUGAGGCGGCCAYGGCGGGAUGAAAUUCUUAGAGGGAGCCUCACGAGUAUGCCGUCAAAAGCAAAGGCGAGGGGCCCCACGUCRUGGUUCAUGUAUGGCCUUGGGKUCGGCUGGUGCACUUGUGGCCGGUAACAGGCCAACAUCAGUUCGGCGCCCACACAUUUUGGACAGGAACCUUCUGGGGGAAGGUGGUUGCGGUUAGCCUCUCGAGGCGUCGCAACGUUAUAACCCCCUGUGGGAGAACAAAAGAGUCGCGGGCUGGACUGAGGAGAUAAAGCAGCACGCCACCUUGUAGAGUUUCCGCUGGGAUGCCGGGCGGUUCGGAAACUGGGCCAAAAGCGCAGUGCCGGGCGCCUCAAACGCAAAAAGGGUGUCUCACCAUGAGCCACGGGAACCUACACAUUUAAACGUGCUUGUGAUGUUGGCGAAAUGGCUUCAUCCGACCCGUCUUGAAACACGGACCAAGGAGUCUAACAUAUGCGCGAGUCUUUUGGGUGGAAAGCCCGCAGGCACAAUGAAAGUGAAGGCGCACUUGGUGCGCAAACAAACAUGUGAGGUGAGAGGUGGAUGGCCCGACGGCCCCAAAAAAGCCGACGGGUCGAGACCGCAUCAUCGACCGAUCCGGAUGGGAGUUCCCUGAAAGAUUUGAGUAAGAGCGCAUCUGUUGGGACCCGAAAGAUGGUGAACUAUGCCUGAACAGGGUGAAGUCUGAGGAAACUCAGAUGGAAGCUCGUAGCGAUUCUGACGUGCAAAUCGAUCGUCUGAUUUGGGUAUAGGGGCGAAAGACUAAUCGAACCAUCUAGUAGCUGGUUCCCUCCGAAGUUUCCCUCAGGAUAGCUGGAACUAAGGACCAAAGCAGUUUUAUCAGGUAAAGCGAAUGAUUAGAGGGCUUGGGGUUGAAAUAACCUCAACCUAUUCUCAAACUUUAAAUAGGUAAGAAGUCUGGCUUGCUUGACUGAAGCCAGACACUGUGUCGAAUGCAAAGUUCCAAGUGGGCCAUUUUUGGUAAGCAGAACUGGCGAUGCGGGAUGAACCGAACGCGAAGUUAAAGUGCCAAAGUUCACGCUCACCUAGAACCCAGAAAAGGUGUUGGCUGAUGAAGACAGCAGGACGGUGGCCAUGGAAGUCGGAACCCGCCAAGGAGUGUGUAACAACUCACCUGCCGAAUCAGCCAGCCCUGAAAAUGGAUGGCGCUCAAGCGUGACACUCAUACUUCGCCGUUGCCGCAAAAGGAAACAAUGACAUGAUAGGCGGCAACGAGUAGGAGGGCGUGGAGGUGGUGAAGCAGCUUAGGGCGUGAGCCUGAGUGAAACUUCC